CUUCCUCAGGCACUGUCCAUCUUCUAUUGUGACAGCGUCUCUCACUGGCCCAGAAUUCACCAAGUAGACCAAGAUGGCUGACCAGCGAACCCCAGAGUUCUACCUGCCUUCGCCUCCCCAGUGCUGGGAUUACAAACAUGGGCCACCACACCCACCUUAUUUUAUGUGGCUUCUGGAAAUAGAACUCAGGUCUUUAUGCUUUCAAGGCAAGCACUUUAUCAAUGGAGCCAUUUCUGUAGCCCUCCCCUACGCAUCUUGCAGCUUACCCAGCAUCUUCCAGAAAGUGCCUGAUGAUAGCCCACAAAGCAACAAAAAUGGCUGGAGAACCUGAACGUUCCAAACAAAGAGAAGAGUACAGUGAUGGUUAGUAUUGAUUGUCAACUCGACAGGAUCUAGAAUCACUGAAGAGACAAGUCUGGGCAUGUCUUCAAGGGAUUAUCUAGAUUAACUGAGAGGCUCUACACCAUUGAGAGACAUACCCCAUCCAAGGACCACGAACCCCUG